AUGGCGGGGAAGGACUGGUUCACCUCCUUCAUGGAGCGCAGUGGCAGCCACUCCCUUCGGCGUCCAGAGGCCACUAGCCAACAACGGUUGUCUAAUUUCAACCAAAGAAAUGUCAACUUGUUCCACCAAAAUUUAAAGACGGUGCUGGACCGGCACCAGUUCCAGGCCAAGGAUAUUUGGAACAUUGAUGAAACCGGGGUCACCACUGUCCAGGUGCCAGACCGUGUCGUCGCCCAGAUGGGGCAGAAGCAGGUCGGGUCAGUGACCUCAGCGGAGAGGGGGACCCUGGUCACAGUUGCCUUGGCAGGCAAUGCUCAGGGCGACCUUGUUCCGCAAUUCUUCAUCUUCCCACGUAAGCGGUUCAAAGACCACUUCCAGAGGGGUGGACCCGUUGGCUGUGCUGGCAGCGGCAACCCAACUGGAUGCAUGAAGGAGCCAGACUUCCUCCUGUACCUGGCCCACUUCACCAGUCACACCCGUGUUUCCAAGGAGUCGAAGCUGCUCCUCCUGCUGGACAAUCACCCGUCCCACCUGUCAAUUGCAGCAAUUGAUUACUGCAGAGCCAAUGGCUUAGUGCUGCUGUCAUUCCCUCCCCACUGCACCCGCAGGUUGCAGCCAAUGGACAUUAGUGUCUUCGGCCCCCUAAAGGGGUACGUAAACAGUGCGGCGGACAGGUGGAUGAGGAGCCACCCAGGGAUCAACAUCUCAAUUUAUGAUGUGCCCUCCAUCGUUGCUGAAGCCUUACCAGAGGCUGCGACAGUGAACAACAUCACCUCCGGGUUCUCAAGUCCAGGGAUCUGGCCUUUUAACCCCUCUGCGUUUGAGGAAAAGGACUGUUGAAUAGGCCGGAGCCUAAUUCGGGUGACGAGGUCAGGGCUUCUCCAGGUGCCACUAACAGUUCAUCAGAAGCAACAGAGGAUUAAACACAGUUCAUAAUAGAUAAGUUAAUAGUCCCAUAAGUCCAAGUUUAUAAAAAAGUCCAUAGGGUAGUGGACGGCAGAGAAGCUGCUAGACCACCAGGCCACAACUCUCACAUCAGGGUAUUUAACAAGGAUCAGGAGGGUGAGUUUAUAAACAUUUAUUUAAAAGUGUGUAUUUUUUAAAUGUGUCCUUUGGCAGGCAUGGACGUACCUGAACGAGCUGCCGGGCCUGCAGAAGCUGCCGGGCCUGACGAAGCUGUCCGGCCUGAGGGAGAUGCCGUUGAAUUCAGCCCGGACAUCGUCCGGCCUUACCCUAAGGCCGGACCUAGAAAGAUCACAAAGAGAAGAGGGAGAAAGAGGCAAGUGGAGUUACUCUUGCAUUUCAUAUCUUGUCUGGACUUCCUUUGUCUACAGUCAUGUAGACCUACCAAAUUUAAAGUAAUUCAAUUAUCAUUAAAACGUCCAAUUUAAUGUUUUCAGGACAACUGCUAUACUGACGGACACCCCGGUGAGGGCUGCUUUAGAGGCGGAAAAGCAGGGAACUGUGAAGCAGUGUCGUCCCGCCAAGCAGCCUCCCUCCUCUCGGGCUCCCAAGAAGAGGCUCUUCUCGCCCGCUCCUGAAGCCGCCCCCCUUGCUGGAGUCACACCUGGUGCCACCUCAGCUGCUCCUCCCACCAUCACCGGGCCCGCUGAUGGAGGCAGCCCCACCUUAGGCCUAGUGUGUCCUGUUCCGGAGGCAGCAGAGUUCACCACUAUUGCUGCCUCUACUUCUCCAAUUUAUUUAGGCCUAUCCAGCGAGGACGUCAGCUGCCUCGUGUGCUGCGAGCUCUUCAGCGCCUCCAUGCCUUGGGAAGAGUGGGUCCAGUGUGUCUUUUGCUACAAGUGGUCGCAUGAGGCUUGCACCGACGGGAGUGCACACUACCUGUGUCACCUGUGUGACAAAGAAUAAAAAUAUUUAGCCUACUAUACUGUCCAUGUGUCUUCACUAGUUUGCAGUGGAAAUACUGUAAAUGUAGGCCUACAGCACAAUUCACUUAACAUUAUAGACUGAUUAACUAACUGAGGCCUGGGUUAGGCUAUGAGUGGGAGCUUGGCUAUUGAAUAUUUUGCAGGGUAGGCCUACUUUUCGUCCAUCAUUGUAACGCAUCAAAAAUAACAAUGGCUACAUUAAAUGAUGACAAUAAUAUUUUAAUUUAGUGGACAUGCACACUGAAGAACUGCUGGAUAUAAGCUAUAGGCUAGCCUUCUACACCCUUGCUCUUGGUCACG
ensembl:lncRNA